GACGAACGCUGGCGGCGUGCCUAAUACAUGCAAGUCGAACGAAGCUUUUUUAACUGGUGCUUGCACCGACUUAAACAACUGAGUGGCGAACGGGUGAGUAACACGUGGGUAACCUGCCCCAAAGCGGGGGAUAACAUUUGGAAACAGAUGCUAAUACCGCAUAACCACAGAAACCACAUGGUUUCUGUGUAAAAGAUGGUUUCGGCUACCACUGUGGGAUGGACCCGCGGCGUAUUAGCUAGUUGGUAAGGUAAUGGCUUACCAAGGCAAUGACACGUAGCCGAACUGAGAGGUUGAUCGGCCACAUUGGGACUGAGACACGGCCCAAACUCCUACGGGAGGCAGCAGUAGGGAAUCUUCCACAAUGGACGAAAGUCUGAUGGAGCAACGCCGCGUGAGUGAAGAAGGUUUUCGGAUCGUAAAACUCUGUUGUCAGAGAAGAACGUGUGCGAGAGUAACUGCUCGUGCAGUGACGGUAUCUGGCCAGAAAGCCACGGCUAACUACGUGCCAGCAGCCGCGGUAA
rnacentral:rRNA from 1 species